rnacentral:rRNA from 1 species
UAUAAAGGUAAAAUUGUUUAUUUAUAGGUAUUGCAUAUCAAUUAAAGAAAAUUUUAUAGUUUAUAAAAUAUAAAAUUAAAAGGUAGAAAUUUUAAUAUUUUUAUUGUUUCAUAAUAAAAAUUAUAAAAUUUAGGGUUGAAAAGUCGACUUUUAAGAUAUUUGUGUAAUGGUAAUUUAUUAGAAAUUUAUAUUUAAAAAAUAAAAUAAUAUAAAAAGUAUAAGUUGAAGUAUUUUUAAGAUUAGUUUUAUAACUAUUUAUGUGUUUUAUAUUUAUAUAGUUUAUUGGUAAAAUUUAUUAAAAUGUUUAAUAAUUAUAUUAUUUUAAUAUAAGUAAUUUUUAAAAUUAUUUGCAAUUAUUUAAUUUAACAAGAUAACUAAAUAAUUAAUCAAAUGUUUUUUAAAGACUUAGACUUUUAAAUAAAGUUUGCUUCUGCCCAAUGAAUAUUUUUAAAUGGCAGUCUUAGCGUGAGGACAUUAAGGUAGCAAAAUAAUUUGUGCUUUUAUUGAGUUCCAGUAUGAAUGAAGUUAUUGGUUAGUUAUCUUUUUGUUUUGUUUAUGAAUUUAAUUUAAUAUAAAAAAAUAUUGUUGUAGUAAUACAAAGAUAAGUCUUCGGAAAUUCUUUUUUAAAAUUGAUAAAAUUUAGUCAAUUUUAAAAAUUUUCUAGGGCAGAAUUUUAUAUAAUUGGUUAUUCUAUUUAUAAUUAUAAGAAUUACUCCGGAGUUAACAGAAAAUCAUACCUAAUCUAGUUCUUAUAGUAAGGUAAGUUUUACAUCGAUGUUGUAUUUAAGUUUAUUAAAAARGGAGAAGAUUUAAUUUUUGAGACUGUUCUUCUUUUAAUUAAUUUAACGUGAUAUUAGUUUAAUUCAUUGUGAGAUAGAAUUGUUUAUCUUGAUUAUUAUUAAUUUGUAGUUUUAAUAGUACGAAAGGAAAAUUAAAAAAAGUUUUAAACUUUUAAAAGAAAAAUUUUUCUU